GCACUACGGUGCUGAAGCAACAAAUGCCCUGCUUCCAGGAAAAGCCUCUAAGCAUCAGGUAACACGAAAUCGUACCCCAAACCGACACAGGUGGUCAGGUAGAGAAUACCAAGGCGCUUGAGAGAACUCGGGUGAAGGAACUAGGCAAAAUGGUGCCGUAACUUCGGGAGAAGGCACGCUGACACGUAGGUGAAGUGAUUUACUCAUGGAGCUGAAGUCAGUCGAAGAUACCAGCUGGCUGCAACUGUUUAUUAAAAACACAGCACUGUGCAAACACGAAAGUGGACGUAUACGGUGUGACGCCUGCCCGGUGCCGGAAGGUUAAUUGAUGGGGUCAGCGCAAGCGAAGCUCCUGAUCGAAGCCCCGGUAAACGGCGGCCGUAACUAUAACGGUCCUAAGGUAGCGAAAUUCCUUGUCGGGUAAGUUCCGACCUGCACGAAUGGCGUAAUGAUGGCCAGGCUGUCUCCACCCGAGACUCAGUGAAAUUGAACUCGCUGUGAAGAUGCAGUGUACCCGCGGCAAGACGGAAAGACCCCGUGAACCUUUACUAUAGCUUGACACUGAACAUUGAGCCUUGAUGUGUAGGAUAGGUGGGAGGCUUUGAAGUGUGGACGCCAGUCUGCAUGGAGCCGACCUUGAAAUACCACCCUUUAAUGUUUGAUGUUCUAACGUGGACCCGUAAUCCGGGUUGCGGACAGUGUCUGGUGGGUAGUUUGACUGGGGCGGUCUCCUCCUAAAGAGUAACGGAGGAGCACGAAGGUUGGCUAAUCCUGGUCGGACAUCAGGAGGUUAGUGCAAUGGCAUAAGCCAGCUUGACUGCGAGCGUGACGGCGCGAGCAGGUGCGAAAGCAGGUCAUAGUGAUCCGGUGGUUCUGAAUGGAAGGGCCAUCGCUCAACGGAUAAAAGGUACUCCGGGGAUAACAGGCUGAUACCGCCCAAGAGUUCAUAUCGACGGCGGUGUUUGGCACCUCGAUGUCGGCUCAUCACAUCCUGGGGCUGAAGUAGGUCCCAAGGGUAUGGCUGUUCGCCAUUUAAAGUGGUACGCGAGCUGGGUUUAGAACGUCGUGAGACAGUUCGGUCCCUAUCUGCCGUGGGCGCUGGAGAACUGAGGGGGGCUGCUCCUAGUACGAGAGGACCGGAGUGGACGCAUCACUGGUGUUCGGGUUGUCAUGCCAAUGGCACUGCCCGGUAGCUAAAUGCGGAAGAGAUAAGUGCUGAAAGCAUCUAAGCACGAAACUUGCCCCGAGAUGAGUUCUCCCUGAGACUUAGAGUCUCCUGAAGGAACGUUGAAGACGACGACGUUGAUAGGCCGGGUGUGUAAGCGCAGCGAUGCGUUGAGCUAACCGGUACUAAUGAACCGUGAGGCUUAACCUUACA
rnacentral:rRNA from 1 species